rnacentral:rRNA from 1 species
CAUGAUAACUUCUCGAAUCGCACGGCUUGCGCCGGCGAUGGUUCAUUCAAAUUUCUGCCCUAUCAACUUUCGACGGCUGGGUCUUGGCCAGCCAUGGUGACAACGGGUAACGGAGGGUUAGGGCUCGACCCCGGAGAAGGAGCCUGAGAAACGGCUACUACAUCCAAGGAAGGCAGCAGGCGCGCAAAUUACCCAAUCCCGACUCGGGGAGGUAGUGACAAUAAAUACUGAUACAGGGCUCAUUUGGGUCUUGUAAUUGGAAUGAGUACAAUUUAAAUCCCUUAACGAGGAACAAUUGGAGGGCAAGUCUGGUGCCAGCAGCCGCGGUAAUUCCAGCUCCAAUAGCGUAUAUUAAAGUUGUGAGGUUAAAAAGCUCGUAGUUGAACCUUGGGCCCAGCCGGCCGGGUCCGCUCACCGCGUGCACUGGCUCGGUUGGGCUUUCCUUCUGGAGAACCGGAUGCCCUUUUACUUGGGUGUUGCCGGGGGGAACCAGGGACUUUUAACUCUGAACCAAAUUUAGAUCGGUUAAAGAAGGCCUAAUGGUUCGAAUACCUUUAGCAUGGGA